AUAUCUUAUUUUUAUUUUUUUCUCGUUAAAUUUACCUAAUAUGUUAUAUUCAGUAAAUAUUUAGAAGAUAUAAAAUAUUACUCUAUUUAAGUUAUGUUAUGUAAGUAAAAGCUAUUUAAUUAUUCUGGUCAAAAUCAAAUUAUUGCAAUAUUUUUCACGAUGAUAAUUACCUAUUAUUGUUGAACAUCUUGUAAGGACAUUUUGGACAUCUUUGUUAACUGUAUGUGUGUAUAACUACAAAUAUGUAUCGAUAUUAUUGUCUCUAAAUUUAUUACAAAUAUAGAUGUAGUAGAAUAUUAAUUAUUUACAAAUUAUAUUAUCCACUUAUAUUAAUCGAAAAUUUUAAUACUCUCUCUCUUAAUUGAGAUAAUUAGAGAAACCAUGCCUGUGAAAUUAAACGAACUAUUAAUCACAUUUAUAUUAUUGGUAUUCAUUUAUGAUUUAAGUAUACUAUAAAAAAUGUUUAGAGGUCUAUUAAUCAAACAUUCAUGUUUUAAGUAAUAUAAGUAGAAAUUCAAACAUUUAGAAUAAUUAUUGCAUUCAAACAAGUCAUGUUGAACAACAGAAUAACGAUAAAAGUCAUGUCAUUCGAACAAUUCAAAACUUCUUUUCUAAACAAUUUACUAAAUAUAAAAGAAAUAUGGUAAUAUACAACGUUAAAAAAAUGAUUUAUUAACGUUAUUAUAGUUAGCCGUCUUUUUAUAUAUAGAGGAUUGUAUUUGAUCGAUAGUGUUCAUUCAUGUGUUCGAUCAACAAAGUAGUUGUCACUAAAACAAAAAUCAUUUUUUGAAUUUAUUUCGUUGUUUUUUUAAAUUUGAUGAAAUGUUUCUACGAUUGGCUUUCUUUAUGAUGAUCUUUAGUAUUGUCUUUGCUCGAAACAUCCAGCAUGAUGGCGAUCAUGUACUUUCAUCUGAAAUUCCUUGUUUGAAAGAAAAAAUAUUGCAUUACCAUCGACCUGAAACUAAUACCAAAUCACCAUCGAUGAUAAUUUCUGCUAUCAAAAGUGACGAUCAUCAUCCUUCGAAGAUGUUACCAAAGAAAAGAGCAACGAUUGAUUCCGAUUUACUUACAUCUGUACCAAAACCUGGAUGCUGUGGUUAGAAUUGAAAUAUAUUAAAAAACUAUUUACUAAGUUGUUUGUUUACAAAUUAUAUCACAAGUAAUAUUUUUCUGGCACUCGUAUCUUAUACUAUUUGAAUUUCAUUUGAUGCUUUUUGAAAUGAUUAUAAAUAAUAAUAACAGUAAUAAAAAGUAGGACGUAUUAUGAAAUAA